ACACUUAAAGUAUGAAAUAUACUCCCAUCAGUUGGGGUAUUUUACAUUGAGUUCCCAUCGUGGCGCAGCGGAAAUGAAUCCUACUAGGAACCAUGAGGUUUGGGGAUCCGGCGUUGCCGUGAGCUGUGGUGUAGGUCGCAGACUUGGCUUGGAUCCUGCUUUGCUGUGACUCUGUCCUAGGCUGACAGCUACAGCUCCGAUUGGACCCCUAGCUUGGGAACCUCCAUAUGCCACGUGUGCAGCCCUAAAAAGACAGAAAAACCCCAAAACCAAACAAAAAAAUGGAGGUCCUCUCCGUUCCCCUCCCUCUCUAGUACUCCAUGCCUAUAGGGCCAGAUCCAGCCUCCAUUCUGACCCGAAUCAGGCUCUGUAUAUGCACCUUGGGCCUCUCAGCUCAUGCUUUCUCAGCACCAGCAUCCUGCUACCUCUGUCUCAGCGCUCUGCAUCCGAUAACUGGGCUCCUGACUGUGAUCAUUUGGUGCCCUUGCUAUUUCAACUGGGCCUGUGCUUUGCCAUGGUCAGUUCCCAUCUCUGGGUCUUCAGUUCUGCCCAGGGUCUGGACAUGUUAUCCAUGGACAACUCUCUUGGUAAGGCCAGCCUUCCUCCAGAAGUUCUGGUCUCUCUCCCCUGCCCUGGGUCUUGUGAUGCCAUGUUGGUGAGUUAGAAAUCCUCCCACUUCAUCUCACAACUAGACCACCUGGAACAAAGACCUCUCUUGCUGUGACCCCUGAGGCACGUGCUUUGCCCUCAGAACAAACCUGCUUGCUUCUGAGUCAUGUGUGGACAUCUCAGUUGCUGAGCCUGCUUCUGGGAACGAGCUCCUAUCCCACAAGCCGCCUCUGAAUUCCCAGAUCCCACAGUCCAGGUUCAGCACAAACGCCGACCAAUCUCCUAGGCUCUCUAUAGCCACAUGUGCAAUAAUAGUUAAUAUUCAGAGGGGUGACCUCAGGCAGUGCAGAUUUCAAAAGCAAGAAAUAAAAAUGUUGCUUCUGCUCAUAGUUUACUUUUUAAGGAAGAGAGUAGAAGAAACACAGGUAGAAAGAUGGAGUUCUCUUGUGGUGCAGCGGAUUAAAGAUCUGGCACUGUCACUGCAGUGGCUGUGCUGUGGGUCUGAUCCACAGCCCAGGAACUUCCACAUGCUGUGAGCACAGCCAAAAGGAAGAAAGAAGAGAAGGAAAGAAAGGAAGGAAGGGAGAAAGAAAAAAAGAAUAUCAGCCACAAAGGUUGAAACAGAAAGAUUCGUUGAUGAAAUUCUCAGUUACUUAAAAAAUUGAGGGCCUUGGAACUACAAGCUCCAAUGAACCAAGGGCUGUACCUCUUUGCAUCACCACAGUCAACCCAGCUCCAAGACCAUAAUAGGUGCUCAGUUAAUACUUGCUGAACGAAUGAAAACUAAAAUUAAUCUAAAUACAGUAUUUAGUCAAGAAUUUUUCUUGGAGGUCCUGUCGUGGCUCAGUGGUAACGAACUUGACUAGUAUCCAUUAAGUAUUCAGGUUCAAUCCCUGGCCUCGCUCAGUGGGUUAAGAAUCCGGUGUUGCCAUGAGCUGUGGUGUAGGUUGCAGAUCCCGAGUUGCUGUGGCUGUGGUGUAGGUCAGGAGCUACAGCUUCAAUUCGACUCCUAGCCUGGGAACUUCUAUAUGCCACAGGUGCGGCCCUAAAAAGACACACACACACAAAGAAGAAGAAGAAGAAAGUUUUCUUGUUCUAUUUCAUAUAGCCAUUCUUUCAUCAUAUACGUGAUAGAACCUGUUUUUCAAUUAUUUUAAUAGAUCAGAAUAAGAGAGGAUAAUUAAUAAAAAUAAACACAAUACACAUAAUAAGCAUUAAUGACACUAGUGGUUAUGAUAAUACUGGCAUAAGUGGAAAGAUAUUUUACUUUUGGCAAUGUUAAAGGGUUUUCUCUGAAUGGGAUAUACACACAGGACUAAAAAUAAUCGUGCUUUAUGGUGCCAGAAUGCUUGACAAUUUACAAGAUGCUUGAACAAAUGGGAUCAUAUUUGCUCCUCAUAAGAAAGUAGAGGAAUAUAGCUAAAGGAAAUUAUGUGUAUCACACUUUUAUAAGAAAAUAUCUAACGGUUGAGGAAAUACACCAGCUUUCAAAAAGAUUUCUGGUUUGUCAUUAACAAUAACAACUCACCUGAUAGCAUAGGCAAGGAUAGAAAAGAUACUUUUUAUAAUAAAGAAAAAAUGAUGCAGUUCCCUUGUAGCGCAGUGAGUCAAGGGUCUGGUGUUGUCACCACUGUGGCAUGAGUUCAUCCCUGGCCAGGAAGUUCUGCAUGCCUUGGCCAAAAAGGGGGAAAAAAAUGAAAAGAAGGAACCCAGGAGUUCCCGUCGUGGCGCAGUGGUUAACGAAUCCAACUGGGACCCAUGAGGUUGUGGGUUCGGUCCCUGCCCUUCCUCAGUGGGUUAACGAUCUGGUGUUGCCAUGAGCUGUGGUGUAGGUUGCAGACACGGCUCGGAUCCCACGUUGCUGUGGCUCUGGUGUAGGCCGGGGGCUACAGCUCCGAUUCGACCCCUAGCCUGGGAACCUCCAUAUGCCUCGGGAGCGGCCCUAGAAAUGGCAAAAAGACAAAAAAAGAAAAGAAAAGGAGGAACCCAUAAUGGCAACUUUCACUCACUGUGAUGAUGACAGACCUAUGUUAUUCAACCUGGGACAGCUAUAGAAUACGGUUCCAAGAGCUAAGUAAUGAGAGGCUGGAAGUGAGUAAUGACACUCAAGCUUUGGAAGUCUAGUUUCGGCUCACUGAAGAGGAAUCAUUACUCUACUUCCCAUUUAUAUUGCAUGAUAUUGAUUGUCGUGCAAUUUGAAAUAGCUGUAACUUUGGGAAUCCAGAGCAGACAUUGGAAAGAGAUCAAGAGGCUCGGAUAGUCCACGGGGCAAGGGGUGCAUAAAACCACGUGGGGGGUCUCAGGCAGUCCCGAGUCUCUCUUUGUGACACAUGCUUCUCAUUCUUGCUUCUUUGUUUCCAAGAGUGUUGUCACUGGCUAUCUUGCUGGAGAGUCUGGAGAGUUACUCUGGAAACCUGUAUAAUAUUUCUCCUUAAAUAGAAAAAAAUCCAUCUUUUCAAUAGGUGACAUAUUUUAAAGUAUUUUCUUUCUUUUUCCCCCUUUUCAUAAAAGUGACAAGUCCAUCCUUCAAAAUGUUUUAUUUAUUUUUGAUUUGUGUGUGUGUGUGUGUUUAGGGCCAUACCCAUGGCACAUGGAAGUUCCCAGACUAGGGGUCGAAUCAGAGCCACCGGCCUACACCACAGCCACAGCAAUGUGGGAUCUGAGCCAUGCCUUUGACCUGCACCACAGCUCAAGCAACAGCGGAUCCUUGACCCACUGAGCGAGGCCAGGGAUGGAACCUGUCCUCAUGGAUACUAGCUGGGUUCGUUACCGCUGGGCCAAAAAUGGGAACUCUCAAAAUGUUUUAAACAUUAUAGAAAUAUAUAAAAAUGUGGCUUUGGUCAUCAUUUUACUCAUUAAGGUGGAAAGCAGAAGAAAUAAGAAAGUUUCACUUCCCUCCACCCUCAAGGUAACCUCUGUCAGUAAAUCAGUACAAGAGCCAGCAGAUCUUUCUUCUAGGCACACACUUAAUUAGGCAAUAAUUUUUAAAUACCUCUGGACUACACUUUUGACAGCUAUCUUAAGUCAGGAAGUAGUGAGAAGAAUGACCAAUAUGUGAUCCUUAUCAGAUUUUAGAAAGAAUUCAAUCCCAUACUUUAAACAGGGAGAAAUUGAAGCUCCAAAUAAAUAGCUGGUGGAAUUCCCAUCGUGGCUCAGUGGUAAUGAACCCGACUAGCAUCCAUGAGGAUGCAGGUUUGAUCCCUGGCCUCACCUAAUGGGUUAAGGAUCCUGCAUCGCCAUGAGUGUGGUGUAGGUUGCAGACCCGGCUAGCAUCCUGAGUUGCUGUGGCUGUGGUGUAGGCUGGCAGCUGCAGCUCCUAUUCAACCCCUGGCCUGGGAACUUCCAUAUGCCAGGGAUUCGGCCCUAAAAAGACAAAAAAAAAAAAGAUUUAAUGGAAAAAAGCCCGUCAGUGUUUGGAAUUAGCUAGAACUGGGGCUAUCAAGUUCUGGGAACUGCAAUGCUCACAGGUUUCUAGCUGUCAAAAUUUGAAAUAGAAUCUAAAGGGGCCAAAAGGUUUGAAAUAAAAAUGCGGUCAGAGGCAUCACUGGUAUGGACUUUGAGCUAAAACAAACACCAACAUAGCAACAGAGCCUGUCUCAGAUGGACUUGCUUUCCCAGCAGCCUCUUUGGCUGCUGAGUUUUAUCACAUUUUUCUAAAAGAGAAUGAUGCUUCUGUUGAAACGGCAGUCCUGCUGCUGUUACAAAGAGCAGUGUUUUCAGACUUCCUGGUCACCGAUUUCCACCCAGAAAUGCUCCGUCUUGCUCUUUUGGAAUUAGUGUCCUUGUCCCCCAAGACUCUGUGCUCCAAAUGUUUGCACCUCUCCUAUGGGAGCCGGUAUCAUGCAGUCCCAUAGAAACCAGUCCAGGUGAGAUUUCAGGGUUCCUAGGACAGACCAGUUCAUCAGAUUGCACCUGAAAUACCUGUGUGCACUAUAGAAAUACAAGAACUCGGGCAACGUUGUCUUUAAAAUACAUUUUGUUUAAGCAUUUUAACUCGGGAUGCUUGGAAUGUGGUUCUAAUCUCUGGGCCAGCGACUGUCCAUCCUUGCAUCAGCCAUGUUUCCUAGGGUCUGGACUCACCAUGUCCCAGGACCUAGGACAGAGCAAGGCACAGGAGGCUGGGGCCAGUGAGGCCUGGGUUGUAACCCUCUUCACAAGCUCGCCUUGUCCAAGUAGCUCUCAGUCCCUCCACUCCAAGGUGUGCAUCUGACACGGAGCCUCAAAAUGCAAAUUGCUCACCCCAGGCAAAGAUUACCCACUGGUUUGCUUUCAUUGUCUCUAUUGCCCUCUGUUUACUGGGAAAGUGAGCUUUCAUGUAGGAAGGAGGAAAGUUGUCCUGUAUUGGGGAAGUUAGAAAGAUGGCAGAAGUUUGUGACCUAAAUCCUCAGGAACAAAAGCAGGUAAGUGUCCAGCAGAGUUCGUAGUUAUUGCCUCUAAAUUGGGGCAGGCUCCAGAUGCCAGGAGGCUGCCGUUUCCCUAGAUUUAAAGAUAUUUUCUCUCUCUUCUGUUCCUACAGUAAAUAGUAAUAUAAUCCUUAAAAUAAAUUUAAAAAACCUGUGCUUUUUUGGCGGGAACAGCAAAAAGGCGGAGCAUUGAGGAGCCAGCACUGUUCCUCUCUAAACAGUCUUGAGAGAACAGGAUUCCAGAUGUUAAAACGGAUGAUGUGGAUUUAAGAGGUGGGAACUGCGAGGCAGAGAGAAGACGGUCUCCAAGUGGAACCCGCAGCAUCGGCAUCACCUGGGAGCUCCUUAGAUUCACACGGACUCAAAACCCACCCCAGCCCUCCUGAAUCAAAAACUCUGGCCAUGGGGACCAGCAAUGUGUGGUCAGAAACCCCUUCCAGGUGAGUCUACCAGUCAAGCUCAAGUUUGAGGACCCACUUGGCGGUGGACUUGACACAGCUGCUUUUAAUUCCUGGCUCUGCUACUUAACAGCUGUAUGAGUUAAGCAAGUUAGUUUCUCAGAGUUUAUGGUGUCGACUGAAAAGACACACCCUAAAAGCCAAAUUAUGUUUCACUUGAGGACCUUCCUGAGGACUGUAGCCUAAGAAUCAACCUCUAAGAUAGCUCUGAGCAGCAACUGUUCCAAAGAGGGAGAGGAGGAGCCAGGAUAUAUAGGAGUUUUUGCUGGGGGGGGGGGACCAGAAAACACGUGGUCGAACAUCAAAAGAUUACUGCUCAUCACAAACCAACCCAGACAUCUCAAGGUAAUUACUUUAGUGCUUUUCUUUUUAUGGGAAGAUGCAAGAGUCUGGGCUCAUUGAAAUUAUUCCUUUGAUAUGCAAUUUAGCUCUCUAGGGCCAGUAUGCUGUUUCUUUCCAUCCUGAAUUCCCCUCAGGGGGCAGCGUUGGGGUGACUGCAGUGGCUGAUGGCUUAAUGGGAGGUAACAUUCAUUGUUGACCAGAAUGGCAGACAACAUUCUUUAUUUACUGAAAUGGCAGGCAAUAUUUUUUUCCCCGGUCCGAGAUGGAGAAGAUUAAAUUAGAUAAUCUGUUUGAAGCCCUUAGGGCAAUGCUAGACACAGAAAGCACUCAAUAAAUGUUAGCUGCUAAGGCCACCUUUAUGUAAUGGGGGAAGGAUAAGUCUCAGGACUUUCAACACAUUAGCACAGCAUUUGCCAAUUAAAAGGGCUCUUUCACAUUCUGACAUUGUGCUUCUGUUGCCGAAUCUCAGCUGCCGAAUCUCAGCUGCCCCAGGACAAAUAUAAAAGUGGAGGAAGAGUUGGAGGAAAGGGAAAAAGUAGCUUUAAUUGCCAGACAAAGAGGGGAACCCAGCAGGCUAGAGCCUCCAGGACUGGGCCUCCCCUCUGAGGUACAGGUAGUGAGGAGUCUUAGAGUGUUUGAGGAGCAGGGCGUGAUCAGCUCAUGGGCAUUUUCCUGAUUGGUUGGUUUGUGGUGAGGUCACUGGGAGUCAGCGUCAUCAACCUUCUGGUUCCAAC
rnacentral:lncRNA from 1 species